CCUUGUCGCUUCAGAUUUGGAGCAGUUUUCGAAAGUUUACAGGAAAACAUAAUUGGACAUAUCAGAGUUCUUUGCACAAACUCACAAAAUAAGUAAUCACAAGCUCUCGGGUGGCUCAACAGAAGUCUGAGGGGUUUAUAAUGAUAAUGCUAAAAAGAGUGUAGAACAAUCUUAACACGGACAGAUUAAAAUAUCUUAAACGUAUCAAGAAAUAGGAAAGGCGCCCUUAAACGAUGACAUGGUGGAACUAACUAAGAAUACCUUUUCAAUGGAAGAACAAAAAUCGCCAGGCUUAAUCCAUUUCUACUGAAUUCCAAUGGAGGUUUCGCAAUACUUUACUAAAUCAAUAUAUAUAUAUUUACUUGGAGGUCAUGUGAAAUGAAAAUGGUAUAUUCUCGCCCCUAUCUCAAAUUUUAAGCAAGUCUCCCUACGUGCUAAGUCGAACUUAACAUAUUUCAUCCCUUGCGGUUGUUAUAAACUUUAACAUUUAGUCAAAUAAGUCUGUUGAUGAUAUGGUAUAAAACCACCCGUAUUCGAAAUAAUUAAGGACUAGUCUUGAUAUACCAGGUUUCAGGAUUUUACUAUGCAGUACAGUGCGUUGUGGAUCAUAACAAUCGUAAUUCCGCAAAAUUGUAAUAAACUAAUGUGAUACUGUUAUAUAUAGUAUAUACAUUUACAUUAUUGAUUGCAGCGGUUCCACCAUCAUCCAGUUGUAGGGAUUGAGCAACAAUACAUAUGGUAUUAUGUAAUGAAAGGGAAAGUUUAACUUUAUUAACAUGUGUGAGCUUAAUCGGCUUGAGUAAAUUAAAUUAAUUUGUUGGACACUAUCGUGAACCUUGCUGUUCAAUAAUAUUAAUCUUUUAUUGUUUUAAGCGAUAACUUUACAUUUUACAAUAACUAGAUUGUAAACUUAAAUUAUAUAUUAAAGCAUUUUAUCGGAAUUGUACAACGUGUUAUGAAUUUAGUUGAUAAACGUAUAUGCAUAGUUAAGGUCAGUAUUCUAUAAUUUAAUAAAAGUUCUUUAUAUAUAGUGGUUAAAUAAUAAAUUAUUAUUAUUUUUCCUACAUCACAUAUUUCUGUUGCAUAGUUAAUUAAAAUGAGUUGAUUGAAAGAUAAUCUGUCUGCUGGAGUAGUCUAGAAUGUGUAUCUCAAUAUAAUUUUAUAUUAUUUUCGUAUUAGUACCGAUAUAAAUGAAAUUAAACAUUUUUACACUCACAUUUCUAUUGUGAUUGUCAGUUUUAAGAGUUUACGUAUAUGCAACAAAGAUUUAGCACAGAAAUUAAUUCAAAAGUGUUUGUUAAGUUAUAUCUAAAAUGUAAAAAAAGUUUAAACUAACCAACGCUACUUAUCAUAUAGAUGUCUUGAAAAAGGACGACAUUCUUUUUCUGUGUUCGAUGCUCGUAAAAAACAGUGAAGACAAAAAUUACAUGAGAGUUGUUCA